CAAAGCCAUAUGGAAUAGAAAAGAGCUUUAUUUUGACAUUUAAGUUGCUUGGUGGGCAUGACCAGGGUAUCUUCUCUGGUCACCUCUGUGCCACUGCAGCACACAUGUACGCUAGCCUGGCUUGGCUUUGUCAUAUGACAGCAGAAACAUGGACUGUCCCCGGGAUUGACUGAAAAAACACGGGUGGAUUGUCCUGCCUCAAAUGAAUUGCCCUCCUCUUUAAAACCAGGCAUGUAAAUGGACACCUUUCAAAGCCCAAAAUAGUCAGUGGUUAGUCAAUGCCUUUAAGUAAAACACUUCAGAUAGUGAAGGGGAGAUGGUCCAGAAGAUCUAAAGAUGUCACUAUAUACUUUUAUAUCCUUGGGACUUGAAAAUUCUCUGUUCCGAAAUUAUUCGGGAGUGUCUGAAGGAAAUCGAUUCACCCUGAGACAAGGAGACCAUUCAUUCUUCCCUCAGUCUGAUGGAUAAAUUUCCAGAAAGGGCCUCUGGGAGCUCCUCUGGAUCACCCUCUGGCUUAUCAAUUACAAACCAGCCUCUUUGGAUGCGUUGUCUGUGACGAGUGAUUUCCAGAAAAACAGGCUCAGUGGAGUCAUGGAACAAUAAUGAAAGUUAACUGGCCGAAGGAAAAAACUUGAUGAUCCACCACAGAGCCACGUGGACCGAGGACACAUCCUGACAUGCCCUGCUGUAACCUCUGCCGCUGAAGCAUUUAUGGAAGCUGAUAAGUCUUGGAAUUAAUGUCCAAAACUAAAAUUACGAACGCAAGGAUGAAAUGUAUCUUGUGUCCCUUCUCAUGUGUAUAUAUACUCACCGUCAUGUAGGCAAUUCUAACCACUGAGUUCGUAAAAUGGUGAUUGAUUCCAGAGGAAGAGAGUAAUGUUGCAAAUACAGAAUUGCAGCUUCACGCCUGGCUUAAACUGUAGAAGAAACUGGAUUCAAAAGCUCUUCAGAUGAACAAAGAACUUCCUUUAGAAGUCUGUUUCAGAGCUAAGGAAAAUCAAGGCUGUAAUUAUAUUUGAAGUCUUGCAUCAUGUAUCAACAAUUGGACAAUAUUCAGUGUGCCAUUUGGAUUCUGGUGGUGUUAAAAAUAAAUAAAUAAAUGAAUAUGUAAACCCCAAGCCACCAAAGACCGAAACCCAAAUCCACAAAGUCCACAGAUGAGGAAGGACUCCAUCUCUCACUUUUAAAGAA